AUUGUACGCUGGCGGAAUGCUUUACACAUGCAAGUCGAACGGUAGAGGGGGCAACCCCUCGAGAGUGGCGAACGGGUGAGUAAUAUAUCGGAACGUGCCCAGUCGUGGGGGAUAACGUAGCGAAAGUUACGCUAAUACCGCAUACGAUCUAAGGAUGAAAGCGGGGGAUCGCAAGACCUCGCGCGAUUGGAGCGGCCGAUAUCAGAUUAGGUAGUUGGUGGGGUAAAGGCUCACCAAGCCAACGAUCUGUAGCUGGUCUGAGAGGACGACCAGCCACACUGGAACUGAGACACGGUCCAGACUCCUACGGGAGGCAGCAGUGGGGAAUUUUGGACAAUGGACGCAAGUCUGAUCCAGCCAUUCCGCGUGCAGGAUGAAGGCCCUCGGGUUGUAAACUGCUUUAGUACGGAACGAAAAGGUCUCUCUUAAUACGGGGGGCUCAUGACGGUACCGUAAGAAUAAGCACCGGCUAACUACGUGCCAGCCGCCGCAGUAA
rnacentral:rRNA from 1 species